ensembl:lncRNA
CUUUAGAAGCUGUGCUGGGUCAUGACCUUGAAUUUAAGAAAUUCUUCAGGACAAUGUCCAAUAUGAUCCGAGGGAAAAUGUGAUUUGAGUCUGGAGACAAUUGUGAAUAUCAACUAAUAAUAAAAACCCAGUAUAGCUGAUAGAAGAAAAAACG